rnacentral:rRNA from 1 species
CAGUCGCCGCGGUAAUACGUAGGUGGCAAGCGUUGUCCGGAAUUAUUGGGCGUAAAGCGCGCGCAGGUGGUUUAAUAAGUCUGAUGUGAAAGCCCACGGCUCAACCGUGGAGGGUCAUUGGAAACUGUUAAACUUGAGUGCAGGAGAGAAAAGUGGAAUUCCUAGUGUAGCGGUGAAAUGCGUAGAGAUUAGGAGGAACACCAGUGGCGAAGGCGGCUUUUUGGCCUGUAACUGACACUGAGGCGCGAAAGCCAGGGGAGCGAACGGGAUUAGAUACCCCCGUAGUCCCUGUCUCUUAUAC